rnacentral:lncRNA from 1 species
AAUCUAAAUCAUUCAGUCCCAAAGAAGCGUGCAACAGCUGAAUAAAGCUGCCCUUCAUCAAAUGGUUUAGAUACAUAGUCAUCCAUCCCACACUUCAUGCAUUCUUCAUUUGUUGCCUGAAUCACAUCUGCUGUCAUCGCUAAUAUAGGUGUGUGCCAAUGAACCAAAUUUUCAGACAUAUCAACUGAUACUUCACCAGAAUCAAUUUUUUCAUUAUAUUCACUCUCAAGACUGCGGAUCUCUCGAGUAGCUUCAAACCUGCAAGAUAAAGAUCAAUUAUAUUAAAAAAAUAUUAUUUUUUCCUUACUGAUGAAAUCAGUAGGAACAAUUCCAAAACCAGUUUGGUUGGGAAAUAAGUAGGAGCAUAUAGAUUCAAGAGCACAAUCAUCACAUGCCAAGAUCAAAUUCAAAACUGUUUCAGCUGAUACCAAUGAAGCACAGUCUAGACAAUAACAAAGCACUGUCUAAGGAAAUUUCUACAAGUCUGGCAUUUCUACUAGAACUGCUUCACAAUAUUAGUGCAUGCAAGGUGUCUAAACCUAAGACCCAGACAAGAUGUGCAACUAUCUACAAAUUUAAAUUUCAAAAUAAUCCUUGGGUUCACGAGUAUUGCACAUAAAAUUACGUAUCAUUAGGAAAUAUGAUGGCUAAGAAACAGGAAAGCUUAUUACCCAUCCAUUCCGGGCAUUUGGAGAUCCAUAAAACAAGCAUCAAACUUGUGGGGAGGCUUAAGCAACCCAACAGCUACCUUUCCCCCCUCCACACAGGUAACAACUGCUCCAUAUUUUUUCAGAGCACCUUCUGCCACUCUUCUGUUCACAGAAGUAUCAUCCACCACCAAAAUUUGUUUAGCUCUGAGUAGAGUUCUUAGCGUUGAUGAUUUAGCCCUUGUAUUAUGCUCCGUCUUUCCAAAUCCAGUAGCUUCUUGGAAGGUGAAUGCCAAUGCACUUAACCUUAAAGGUUUUGUUAUCACAUUAUCCACUAGCCUGUCCAAUUUCAGCUCUUUCCUUUCUGAAGAGCUUGUGCAGGUUGCUAACAAGAAUAUUUUCAGAGGGAUCCCUGAAUUAUUUAUGGAGCCAUUUUGUUUGAUCGUCUUUAGCAGGUUAUGGAAUCGAAAGCAAAUAUCUUUAUCCCAACUGUCUUGGUCAAUAAGAACCAUAGCUAAAUUCUCCAACACACUGUAUACAGAAUAACUAAGAGCAAUUAGCAAAAACAAGGUCAAAGCACAAUACCAUGGUUCCAACUUUUCUACAAUUUAAGCAUGUCAUAAAGUUAUGUUUUUCUUCCUGGAAUUUGUAAGAAUUAUGGCACUCAUGUUACUGAAGUGCAGACUUAUCAUUAUAGAAGUUGAACAUAAUUAUUGUAGCAGAAAUAAGAAUAUCUACUAAAACAAAACCUUGGCACAUCUGCCUAUUAAGGCUCUAUAAAUUUCUAGUCGUUAGCAGGGAAAAGCUAUGAUGCUCGGACUCCGGUAUGGGUAUCGGGCACGGCUACAUAUUUAAGCGUCGGAUCUUUUAUUUUCUAUAAUGUAGAAUACAGGGACAUGGAUAAAAAUAGUCUAAAUUUUGGACACAGGUAAGUGGGUACGUCUUUCAAACUUUGAUUUUUUUACUAAUCCAAUAUGUGCAUUUUGAAUAGACCAAAAUCAAUUGUUCACAAAGAAGGAAAUGAGUAUUAAAUAAGGGGUUAAGACGAAUAAAAUAGAAUUUUAUGGGAAAUUAAUUAUUAAAUGUUAUAUAAAAUAAAAANAUGCUUCUUCCACGAAGUAGCGCUGUACAAUAAAUAUGACCUGAAAACAGGGAUAGACCAUAUGAAGUUGGCAGAUAUUCCUCUUGUUUUAUUGCCGCAGAAUUAAUCAUACCAUCUCUCACUGCACUCCUAAAGUGCUCCAUGCAUUAUGUUAAGUCUAUGUCAGCGUCCAUUCCUGGAAAUAUAAAUUAUAAGUAUGAAUAUUACAGAAGAUGACUUCGUUGACUGGAGUAUUUUAUUUAACAUUUCGAAGCAAGAAAAACAACAGUUUUUCAUUUUGGAAGGAGAAUUAUAAUUUCCGCAUUUUGCAACAUAGCUACUUUUCCAGCUAUUUCUACUCUGCCUUGUAUUGCUUACCUACUAUGUGGUAAGUAUAUCAUUUCGUUUUAUUGCCGCAGAAUUAAUCAUACCAUCUCUCACUGCACUCCUAAAGUGCUCCAUGCAUUAUGUUAAGUCUAUGUCAGCCUCCAUUCCUGGAAAUAUAAAUUAUAAGUAUGAAUAUUACAGAAGAUGACUUCGUUGACUGGAGUAUUUUAUUUAACAUUUCGAAGCAAGAAAAACAACAGUUUUUCAUUUUGGAAGGAGAAUUAUAAUUUCCGCAUUUUGCAACAUAGCUACUUUUCCAGCUAUUUCUACUCUGCCUUGUAUUGCUUACCUACUAUGUGGUAAGUAUAUCAUUUCAUAUGGAGCUAGUCAAUCUUAGAAGUUGAUCCCUUCUGCAAGAUUAAAGCCUCACUUAUAUACAUACCUCAAAGACUUCUCAAGGAAAUGAUAUAUAGGGAAGCACGGUCAUAAAUUUCAGAAACCAUUAUGUCACAUAUCAUAUUUUGUAAUCAUAUAUUUGCUAAAUCUUCAGGGAAAUAAAAUAGAAGAAACCAUGACCUAAACAUUUUCAGUAUUGUUCAUUAAGUAGAACAAACUUAACUUGAUACAGGCAAAAACUCUUUCGAGUAUAUCACAAAACACAUGAAAUCCCGAGCUAGGAUGAAGUCACACGAGAUAAAAUUUUUACUUUAUUUUAGUCUUCUAGUAGUUUUUGGGCAGGGAAGUUCUACCUUUUAUCUCUUUUAUCUGGAGGUUAGGCCUACCCCUUUCUAAGUCUGUUGAUGUGAUCCAUGGCACAAAAGCAAGUCCGGGCAAGGAUCCAUUGAUCGUUGAAGAAUGGCCUAUGACUAGGUCACGAGCGAAGAGGAUUAAAAAAGCAAUGAGACUACUCGCUCAAACCAUGGUGGACGAAACAAUGAAAGUAUAUCACAAAACACAUGAAAUCCCGAGCUAGGAUGAAGUCACACGAGAUAAAAUUUUUACUUUAUUUUAGUCUUCUAGUAGUUUUUGGGCAGGGAAGUUCUACCUUUUAUCUGGAGGUUAGGCCUACCCCUUUCUAAGUCUGUUGAUGUGAUCCAUGGCACAAAAGCAAGUCCGGGCAAGGAUCCAUUGAUCGUUGAAGAAUGGCCUAUGACUAGGUCACGAGCGAAGAGGAUUAAAAAAGCAAUGAGACUACUCGCUCAAACCAUGGUGGACGAAACAAUGAUCAUGGCAAGCAAAGAAACAAGACUCGUGUUGGACUUGGGAGAAGAAACACGAUGGAUCAACUUAGUUCAAACAAUAGACGGAUGAGCUGAAACGAGGUCCUAUGUGAUCGCAUAGUGCAAAACUACAUGCGACCACAUGUAACCAGGCAAAAAAUCCAAUCGAAAAAUUGAAGAGUUCUAUACAACUGCAACCAAUAUAACUAUACGACCACAUAGAUCAAAUUUUACGCGAAAUUUCUCAAAAUUCGCAAAAUCUCCUAAUUUAGUUAAAACUCUAUAUUUUUGAUAUCUUUCGAAAUCUUUAGAAUUUGAUUUAGUUUUAACUAGGUUUACGAAAUUUCCUCAUUUAGUUAAAACUCUAUAUUUUUGGUAUCCUUUGUAAUUUUUAGAAUUUGAUUUCAUUUUAACUAGGUUUACAUGAGUUCCUUAUAUAUAGAACUCGAUAUUUUCAUUAUAGAACAAUUAUUCAUACAUACAAUUUGAGAUUAUUUGUGAGUAUAUUUUGUUUUCAAUCUUGUUCUUCAUUGAAAAAAAUUUCGAACUUAUCAAGAUCUAUUUUGUGAUCAAUUAUUCAUACAUACAAUUUGAGAUUAUUUGUGAGUAUAUUUUGUUUUCAAUCUUGUUCUUCAUUGAAAAAAAUUUCGAACUUAUCAAGAUCUAUUUUGUGAUCAAUUAUUCAUACAUACAAUUUGAGAUUCUUGAGUUUUGUGAUCAAGGGGUGUAACAUAUUGUCGGGUUCUUUGAUUCAAUAUUUUUGGAUCAAACUUUAAACAUUGAUUCUUGGCUUUCUUGAUUGAAUCAAUCUUGCGUGGGGUUCGUAGCUACUAUUGCUAUGUGGGUUCGCAUCAUUUGUACUCUGUACUCUUUUACUUGGGUUAUUAAAAAAAAAAAAAAAAAUAUAUAUAUAUAUAGAAACCCCAUCAGAAUGUUGUUAGUAAGGCACGCUGAAUAUUCAAUCGGAGAGAGGAAAGCACUCUAAGAAUGCAUGACACACAAGAAAUUUCAAAGCCUCAGAGCACGAGUGGAAAAUUACCAUGUGAAAUGAGCAAGGAUUCGAUUCUGACAAGUAUGGCAGAGUCGAGUAGCAGAGAGGGAAGUCACUGAUGUCAGUCUGACUAGGCCCUUAAUCAGCUGGCAAUUAACUUCAAACCUUGGCCUCCCAUUAUAAGCCAAAUCAGCAAAUCUAAAUCAUUCAGUCCCAAAGAAGCGUGCAACAGCUGAAUAAAGCUGCCCUUCAUCAAAUGGUUUAGAUACAUAGUCAUCCAUCCCACACUUCAUGCAUUCUUCAUUUGUUGCCUGAAUCACAUCUGCUGUCAUCGCUAAUAUAGGUGUGUGCCAAUGAACCAAAUUUUCAGACAUAUCAACUGAUACUUCACCAGAAUCAAUUUUUUCAUUAUAUUCACUCUCAAGACUGCGGAUCUCUCGAGUAGCUUCAAACCUGCAAGAUAAAGAUCAAUUAUAUUAAAAAAAUAUUAUUUGUUCCUUACUGAUGAAAUCAGUAGGAACAAUUCCAAAACCAGUUUGGUUGGGAAAUAAGUAGGAGCAUAUAGAUUCAAGAGCACAAUCAUCA